UGGUGCGGUGUUUAAACAUAGCCACUGGGGAGACAAAGGCGGCCGGGCGUGAUGCUGGCCACCCACGCCUGAGUGUGCCGUUCCGGCCUUCAUUGGUGCCACUCACUCGCAGCACUUGCCCCACAAUAGUCUUAAGGCGACACGGGGUGUCUUUGUUUGGGAAUCACAUUAGCCGUUACAAUUCUUUGUGUGACCAAUAUCGGAUAAUUAUUGCAAUACCCAUUUAAAAUUAAUGGAGCUAUCGUGUAAUUCGCAAUUCUAGGUAUGUAAAUCAAAUCGGGCUCUGCUCAAUGGACUAAAGAUGCAAAGCCUCUUAAUUAACGGAGGGCAUGACAGAAUGAUUCAACUGGAUUAAUUGACUGGCCAAUUGAUCUGUCAUGUCUAACGUCGAGGUUUUCUGUGCGUGUGGGAACUCACUGAAAAUAGUCAAAAAUUAAUCUGUCCCAGGAAACAUUUUAACAAUUUAUUUGGUAGCCAGUCAUUCAUCCUUUGGUGACCGAAUUUUAAAUGUCAAUAAAAAGCCGUGUUCAGAUUAUGAAUAUAUAAUACAUUGUCUCAAACAUCAAGUUUUAUUUUGCUAACCUUACUAAGUAUUAUAGUUUUUCUUGCAACGCCAUAACCUAAUAUCAAUGUGUUCUACUGAGAAUUACUAAACUUAACUGUGAAAGUUCUUGUCCGUAAAUUUUAAUCAGAAUAUGAAAAUAAAAAUAUUGCAGUGUUAUCGUCAACCAAUUAUUCUAUAUAUAACAAAAAUAAUCGUAUCCUGUGACGGCGUCGCCAAUUUUAUUUUUGGCCGAUUUUUAUCCUAGCUUAAACUCGCUCUGAUCUUUGUGUCACCAAUGACAAGUGUUUAUCAUGUGCAGCAUUGAAGGCAGUUUCAUUAAUUUUCACUGUCCCAAAUGCUUUUUUAAAAAGUGCAUAUUCCAGUCCCAAAAUUUCCCAUUUUCAUGAAUAAAAUAACGGAAGACUGUAAUCAAAAAUGACAGAUCUUCGCAGACAUUCAUACAGCGCGUCCGGACCCGAGUGUUUUCAGCGUUCUUCCUCAUUACGGAAGCUUCAAACUCGUGUGUUUGGACAGCGCAGGGGACAGGCAGCGUAGGUGUGUGACUACCACAGAUGAAUGUGGUUUUUUCUGUCGUCCUGUUAAACAUCAGAAGAGGGGGGGAGACAGUGCCAGUAAAACGACGCUGCCAAUAACCAUCGUGGUGCCCUCCCAGCUUGACGACAGAUCCAAUCCUGCUGCAGUAGCCACCAAGUGCGUUUUGCUCAGAUCCUACCAAGGCAUUGCCCACCUGCCGUCUUCUGAAUGAAAGUGGUGUGCGGAGCCUUUUCAAGAACGCGCAAAGUCAUCACUCCACGUAAAAGUUUGCUACUGUGUGUGGCGGCGGCGGCGGCGUAGCUACCCAGUUCGCUAACGUGAUCCUUGCCUGUGGGGGUAUAUGACAAACGCCGUCAAUCGCCGUUCUGAUGCAACGCGUCUCUCGCGUUUUCCUUGAAGGAAAAGUGACGAGCAUAAAAAAUACGACUCCUCAAUGGAAAUGUUGACACACUCGCACGCGUGAAAUUGUGAGGUGUAAAGGACUGGUUGGUUCCCCAUUUUAUCCCACUAAACGUGCUCCAGGACUGUAAACUAAUUAUUUUGUGAUGCUCAUGCUUUAGCAGUGUGGUGCACAAAAACACGAAAUAUGUUCCGUGUCAAUAACACCGUGGCCUUCAAAGUGAAAUAUACAAUAACACAUACAUCAUUGAUAUAAAUUAUGGAUUUAAAGCGAUGAUUUGUGCUAUGAAAGGCCUGUAAUGUCACCUGUAAUAUAUAUUUUUUUAAAGCCACCGUGUUAUUGAGGAAUGUGUACUCUAUGAACUCAUACCCCAAUUCUGCAAAGCACUGCAGCAUGCAUGCCUUGCGGCCCCCACAUCGCAUGUACAAUGCUCUCAGCCAUGUCCAGACCACCAGCUUAAGAGCUAGAAUGUAUUAUUUAGGCCACUAUGCAGAAAAAAAUGUAAUUAUGACCCUAAACUGUAAAAGGUCAAUGAAUCAUGAAGGGUGUUGGAUCAUUUUAAAUAAUGAAGAUAACAUUUUUUAAUUUGCGGCAAGUUGACAUAAAACCACUUCAAUUCCACUCCAAAAAAGCCACAACUUCUGACGUAACGAAAAUAAACUCGCACUCAAUAGCACUGCGGCCUUGAGAAACGUACACAGGAGGUGACAUUUCAGGCAAUGGCCCUUAACAUACUACCGACCUCUUGCCUACGUGUUGCGCUGUAACGCGUUGUUCUUUCAAGGCCACGGUGGUAUUGACAAGCGUUUGAUUGUUUUGUGAUUUUUCGCGCUAUUGCCAUCGCUGCGGUACUGGCUGCGGCAGCGUCGCCACCCAGAUAAUUUGUUUUUACUCCGGAAGGACGUAAUUCUGAAGCAAACCCAAGUUUUAAAUCUACGUCGUCGAUAAGAACCGUCUUUUUGGCGACUUGAGAUGUCGGUGGCACGCACUGUGAUCCAUGUCCGCCGUUUAUAUGGUUGUGAAUUUUUGUUAAUUCUCUCCACCUCCCCUCCCCCCAAAAUAACUGCUGUCAGAGGAUCUGUGUUUGUAGACUUAUUGCCAAGCCAUUCUCUGCGCACAAUUUCUCGCACCUCUCAGUCACGGCGCCAAUAAUGCAGCAGCAUCUGAGUGGUGAAACAAUAACGUUUGUUUUUUUCAUCUCCUGCGACUCCGCUCGUUUCAACCCGCCCUGCAAUAAUGAUGAUUCCUGUAGCCUUGUAGAGUUUCACGAGUUUCUGACGCACAUUCAAAAACGUGGCCAAAUGAAUGUUUUUUAUUCAACCAAAAUGGCCUCGCCGAGUCUAUCUCUGAAGGGGGGGGGGUCCUGGUUUGGCAAUCUUGUGGCCACUUAUUUGAACACGACUAAGGGGAAAAAAUCAAAUCGGUACCCAGAGAACCCAUCACAUAUGGGUGGAUAUAACACUGAAACUCAAACAAUGGAUUUCUAAGAUUCCUCGAUGUGCUUCCUCCAGGCAGCUUGAGACGAGUUGUUAAACCACCACUGCUGGUGUAGGCUUAUUUGGUUGUGCCGCUGUACAGCUCCCCCCCCCCCUUUUUUUGGGGGGGGGGGGGGUCGUGCUGCUACGUGUUUGUUAGGCACAACGUCCGACGUUUCGCUCCAUGUGCUGGGAGCUUCUUCAUGAACAUGCUGUUCAGGAACUGAAGACGCUUCCACCGCUCGCAGCGAAACGUCGGACAUCGUGUGUUGGGCAACAAACGGCGGCACAACCCGAACGCGCGUUUUAACUUCCCACGUGGCCACAGGCCUCCAUCACAGAGAGACGCCAAACUUCAAUGGGGCCCCUCACUGUUAAAUAUCAGCGGCGGCCUUUCUCUUGGUUAAAUAAAGACCGUCCACGUGGCAUACGCCACACACACACACGUAUGCACAAGCACACUACUAUAUAACAAGGUGCCAUCAACUUGUUUUGUUUUGCUUCUGCCUUGGUAAGAACGUGUAUUGUUCACAGCUAAUGGGGAUCCCUAUCAGCUGAACCGCAAUGUGAGUGAGACAACCACUAUCCCACCCAUCGCCCUCACGCCCGUGCACGAUGCAGUUACAUUCUGGGUUUGUUCCGUGUGCAAGGGGGGGGGAACUCCCUCCUCUUAACCAACCCCCUCCACCCAACACUGCUUUGCCCAUGGAUGGUGCUUUUAUUCAAAUUAGCGCACGACGAGAUUUAACGAAAAAUAAUAAUAAAAACAAAUAUUCCAGCACCGCAA